rnacentral:lncRNA from 1 species
CAGACGUUUGCCAGGCAAUUUCCCUCUGUCUCUGUUUAUUUAGGGAAGAAAAGGAAUGGAAGAAAGAAAUGGAAAGUGGUAAGAAUUUAGGGUUACAAAAACAAGGCCAGGGGUAGAGACGCCAAAGAGCCUGUGCUGGACGAGCUUCUGCUGACAGUGCUGUUGUCAGAAUGUACAGGGACAGCAGAGAAAAUCAGCAUGAGAACAGGAGUGUUGUACAAAAUGCCUUUGCAGAAGAAUAGCCUCGGAUUAAUUCAAACAUAGAGAAUGAAGCUACGAAUCUCCUGCAGCUGGAAUGAUUCACUUGUUUUUCUUGUUAUCACUUACCUGGCCCAUAUCUAGGUAAGUAGACCCUUAUUAAACUCUACCCAGGGGGCUGGGGAUUUAGCUCAGUGGCACAGCACCUGCCUGGCAAACGCGAGGUCAUGAAUUCGAUUCCUGGUACCGGAAAACCCC